rnacentral:rRNA from 1 species
AUUGAACGCUGGCGGCAGGCCUAACACAUGCAAGUCGAGCGAGCGGCGGACGGGUGAGUAAUGUCUGGGGAACUGCCCGAUAGAGGGGGAUAACUACUGGAAACGGUGGCUAAUACCGCAUACUAUCGGAUGAACCCAUAUGGGAUUAGCUAGUAGGUGGGGUAAAGGCUCACCUAGGCGCCGAUCCCUAGCUGGUCUGAGAGGAUGACCAGCCACACUGGGACUGAGACACGGUCCAGACUCCUACGGGAGGCAGCAGUGGGGAAUAGUGCACAAUGGGCGCAAGCCUGAUGCAGCCAUGCCGCGUGUAUGAAGAAGGCCUUCGGGUUGUAAAGUACUUUCAGCGGGGAGGCGUUACCCGCAGAAGAAGCACCGGCUAACUCCGUGCCAGCCGCCGCGGUAAUAC